CAUCACUGAGAGAGAAGGGACACAUCACUGAGAGAGAUGGACACAUCAUUGAAAGAGAAAAUGGACACAUCACUGAGAGAGAAGGGACACAUCACUGAGAUGUCACCAUUCUCUACCCUAAAGAGGCCAAAAAUGACACAUCGAGGAAAGCUUUUAAACAGAAACUACUAAAGGGGAGGCCAGAAACACUUUUUGCAGACCUCUACAAAAACGGUGACGUGAGUAAUCUCAUCUUCCUCACUGACCAGCCAAAUGCAUGGCACUCAGCAAUCUGCUCUCACUAUCAAUCCAUAAAGAAAGAGGGAAUCUGUAAUGGGUGGAAGCUGAUAAUCAAAGAGACAGAUGACCCUAACAGCACCAUGAUAACAAUCAACCUCUACAAGACUGCAAGGCAACAUUGGUGCAAGGCAACAUUAGGCUGUUAGAAACAGACUUUCAGACCAUGAAGGAGAGAGCAGAGAGAGAGAAGGACACCACCAGUGACAUGCCCUCCCACAAGACAAACUCCACCAGCACCACUCUCACCUCUACUCUCCCCACCCAAAAAGGCACAUCCAGCACCAUAGUGGAGGACAAGCCCCAGGAGGAGAGCGACCCCCUCAGUGCAGAGCAGGCUCAGGCCCUCCUUACCACCAUCAAUCAAUCAAUCAAUCAAUUUUAUUUAUAUAGCCCUUCGUACAUCAGCUGAUAUCUCAAAGUGCUGUACAGAAACCCAGCCUAAAACCCCAAACAGCAAGCAAUGCAGGUGUAGAAGCACGGUGGCUAGGAAAAACUCCCUAGAAAGGCCAAAACCUAGGAAGAAACCUAGAGAGGAACCAGGCUAUGUGGGGUGGCCAGUCCUCUUCUGUGCCGGGUGGAGAUUAUAACAGAACAUGGCCAAGAUGUUCAAAUGUUCAUAAAUGACCAGCAUGGUCGAAUAAUAACAAGGCAGAACAGUUGAAACUGGAGCAGCAGCACAGUCAGGUGGAAUGGGGACAGCAAGGAGUCAUCAUGUCAGGUCGUCCUGGGGCACGGUCCUUGGGCUCAGGUCCUCCGAGAGAGAGAAAGAAAGGAGAGAAUUAGAGAACGCACACUUAGAUUCACACAGGACACCGAAUAGGACAGGAGAAUUACUCCAGAUAUAACAAACUGACCCUAGCCCCCCGACACAAACUACUGCAGCAUAAAUACUGGAGGCUGAGACAGGAGGGGUCAGGAGACACUGUGGCCCCAUCCGAGGACACCCCCGGACAGGGCCAAACAGGAAGGAUAUAACCA